rnacentral:rRNA from 1 species
GACGAACGCUGGCGGCGUGCUUAACACAUGCAAGUCGAACGGACCUUAUCGAUGAGCUUGCUUUUUGAUAAGGUUAGUGGCGGACGGGUGAGUAACACGUGGAUAAUCUACCUUCUACACCGGGAUAACACUGUGAAAACGGUGCUAAUACCGGAUAUGGUCACUGAUGCGAUGCACUGGUGAAGAAAAGGGUAACCUGGUAGGAGAUGAGUCCGCGGCUGAUUAGCUAGUUGGCAGGGUAACGGCCUACCAAGGCUACGAUGUUUAGGGGACCUGAGAGGGUGAUCCCCCACACUGGUACUGAGACACGGACCAGACUCCUACGGGAGGCAGCAGUGAGGAAUAUUGGUCAAUGGGCGGAAGCCUGAACCAGCCAUCCCGCGUGCAGGAAGACGGCCCUAUGGGUUGUAAACUGCUUUUCCAGGGGAGAAACUUUCCGAUGCAUCGGGAUUUGACGGUACCCUGGGAAUAAGCAUCGGCUAACUCCGUGCCAGCAGCCGCGGU